UUGACAGAAGUUAUGUCAGUUUAUAAUUACAUUACGCAAUUUAAUGAGUAACAGUGAGUAAAAUUCACUGGAGCGCUGUUUGUUGCAUUUCUCCUCAAUUCAAGACCGUGCUGCCAUGUGUGGAGGAAACGAUCAACUAAAUCCUUAGAAAUUGAGCAUCCCUCAUUUCACUAGCUUUAGACGCCUGUUAGAAUAGACUCCCAUGUAUACAAUAUGCUUGGUGUUGCCAUCUGGCAACAGGAAGUAUGCCCGAAAAACGAAACGAAAAUUAGCAUUGCCAAACAGCAAUACCACACAGUGUAGGAUGAAUUUUCUUUCAGUGCGUCUAUGUGGGUUAUUUGUGUUUACGGCGUAUUCUCAUAAGAAAUGGCUUCAGUAUUUAAGUUGCAAUCAUCGUAACCUUUUGUUGGUCAGAAAUUGUGUAGUAACUGUAUUUUAACUUCAGUACCGCUCAAAUAUUAGGUUUCAGUAACAUGUUCCUGCCCGUCAUCUCCAUACUAAUAGUAUAGAGAUCACUGGUUCCUGCACACUUGAAAACUUUUGAAUGUUCAAAAUUACAUCUGUGACCAUAUGUUUCUGAAGUGGAAGUCCAAAGAAGAGACGACUGUGAGAAGCAGCUUUUUGUGUGUUUUAUGGUUUAUAGGCCUACUGGAAAACUCGCCAUGUAAGACAAACGAGUAAUUUCUCAAGCUUGGUACCUCUAUGGUGAUGUGGAAAUCCGAGUGUUGUUAAUAAAGAAAUUAAAUUCA